rnacentral:rRNA from 1 species
GACAGAGGUGCCAAGCGUUAGGCGGAAUCACUGGGCUUAAAGCGUGUGUAGGCGGACGCCUAAGUGUCUUGUGAAAUCCCACGGCUCACCCGUGGAACUGCUGGGCAUACUGGGCGUCUUGGGCCAACUAGGGGCAGCCGGAACAAGCGGUGGAGCGGUGAAAUGCGUAGAUAUCGCUUGGAACGCCGAAGGUGAAAACAGGGCUGCGU